rnacentral:rRNA from 1 species
UUGAACGCUGGCGGCAUGCCUUACACAUGCAAGUCGAACGGCAGCACGGGAGCAAUCCUGGUGGCGAGUGGCGAACGGGUGAGUAAUAUAUCGGAACGUGCCCGGUCGUGGGGGAUAACGUAGCGAAAGCUACGCUAAUACCGCAUACGAUCUACGGAUGAAAGCGGGGGAUCGCAAGACCUCGCGCGAUUGGAGCGGCCGAUAUCAGAUUAGGUAGUUGGUGAGGUAAAGGCUCACCAAGCCGACGAUCUGUAGCUGGUCUGAGAGGACGACCAGCCACACUGGGACUGAGACACGGCCCAGACUCCUACGGGAGGCAGCAGUGGGGAAUUUUGGACAAUGGGCGCAAGCCUGAUCCAGCAAUGCCGCGUGCAGGAUGAAGGCCUUCGGGUUGUAAACUGCUUUGUACGGAACGAAACGGUGAGCUCCAAUACAGUUUGCUAAUGACGGUACCGUAAGAAUAAGCACCGGCUAACUACGUG